UUUUGUCCAUCCAUGGACCCGCCGAGUGCGAGGGCACGAAAAGCCUCUAUCUUCUGCGCUUCGGCGGGUGAUGCGCCGACUGU
rnacentral:sRNA from 1 species